rnacentral:lncRNA from 1 species
AUGUACUUGUUUAGGAAGGUUUUCACUUUUUACAGCUCACAUCUUUCAGAGCGACCACAUGGAGAGAAAGAAUGGGAGACUGUCAGACAGCAGCAUCUUGAAAUAACCUUUCCCAUCAAUGAGAUGCAGAGGUGUCAGCCAGAUAGAGCUCUGUUGACCCAGCAUGGGAAUGCUUUAGUCCUGAAGACAGCAUUAACUGUGGAAAAAGACCAGAAAAGCAAUGGUCCUGUCCAAACAAGUCCCUGCUCUGUGAUGUCUAAGGUAUAUAACCUUAUAUCCACCUGGUUAGCGCUCUAAGUAGCACUGAAACUCAUCUAGCCUACUGGGGCAUACACCCUAAUUAGAACAGUAGCAGUGCCCCCUACAGGAAUAACCUGCAUAUCCCAAACAUUUUAUUUAAUUAAUUAAAUAAAAUUUAUAUACAUAUACUUAAAUAUAUAUAUAUGUAUAGGACUUCCCAGAUGGUAGAAUAGUAAAGAAUCUGCCUGCCAAAUGCAGGAGAUGCAGGAGACUCAAACCCUGGGUUGAGAUUGAAUCCCUGGGAUUCAAUCCCUGGGUCAGGAAGAUCCCCUGCUGAAGGAAACCCAUGGACAGAGGAGACUGGUGGUCUAUAUUGUCCAUGGGGUCACCAAGAGUUGGACACGACUUAGCAGACUAAACAACUGCUCUGGACAAUCUGGACCGUUUCUUUCUCUUCCAAGCUCAGGAUGGCCCAUUCCCAAUUUCCUGUUGACAACAAAAAAUGAGAAUCUAGCCUUUAAUCUGCAACACCUAUGGCUAAAGAGAAAAACUGUUCUUAAAUUUCCAGUUGAGAGAUUAUGCAGAGGGGCAUAAUCACAGAUCUUUGAUCACUCAGCAAAUCACAGAACCUGUAACAGAUUUCAGAAAGGAAUCAUAAGAAAGCACUCAGUCCUAUAACUUGGGCAGGCUAAAAAUGAAACUGGAAUCAUUUUCCAUAUUUAUUAUAGGGCAAACAAGUAACAGACUUUUUUUUUUAACUUUUUCAACCAAUUAUGAAAGAUGGUAAGCAUGCAGUUUUCUUGGGAUACUUUGGAUAAGGCCUUAAAUAAGCAUGAUUUGUUCUAAAGUCAGGUAGAUCAUUUGUUAUCCCCAUUCCACAUUUUACAUUUUUUAAAAAAUAAAGCAGGAAAUUGCUUCAAUAAAAUGCCUGGAAGAAAAUCAAAUAUUUUCAAACCAUUUCGAGGAAAGGAAUUUUUGUAAAAUUAAAACUUGCCAAGGGAGAAAAAAGCAAGUAAUAGGUAAUCCUUAAAAUCUCAAAGAGGAAAACAAACAAAAAAAAACCCCGCUAUAAUGCCUUUAUCCAUACCAUCAUGCACCAUGAUUCAACUCUCCUUCCACUGGGUCAUUUAUCAUUCGUACCUGGACCCACACCAGGAUUCUCUCUCACCUCCUACAUGACAGGAAUCCAAAGGAGGAGAGAAGACAACCUCUUGUCCGCCUCCUUUGGCUGAGGAGAGCAUUUUGGCUGUCACUUGCAGCUCUGCUUCCAAGCCAAAAGGGACUGGGGAAGUGCCUAACUGGUUUUAUCUUUUUAAAAAAAAUUUUAUUGUUAUUUUUUGGCUAUGCAGGGUGGCAUGUGGGAUCUUAGUUUCCUAACCAAGGAUCAAACUUGUUCCCACCCCUCCACCUGGCAUGGGAAGCAUGGAGUCCUAGACACUGAAGUCCCUGGUUUUGUCUUAUCUGAGAGUGGAGAAUGUGAUAGGGAAAUGCAAUUUAUUCAGUUUUCUGUGUCUCCUACAGAGUUCCCUGGGACUCGUGUAGGGAGGCAGAAAAGGAUUCCCUCUGUGACUUUUCCUAAGUUCUAAGAUGUUUUAAGUAGGUGUCAAUUACAUUAUAAUUGAACGAAUUCUCAUUACUAUACUUCUUUACCCUGUUAAAGAAAUAUAAUAUUCAUUCUCCUUUAAAAUGACAGCUGACUGAAGUCAUUGUAGUGAAUGAUUAACUUUGAGUGGAUGGUUUAAAAUACUAGAAGGGUUUAUAUUCAAUAAACUUACUGAUAAAUCUGUAAAU